UCAAUGGCACUAAUGGAAGCUAGGUUCGUUUUAAACACAGAUUCGAUGGUACUGUGCAAUAAGCGUGAAUAUUAUUAAAUCUACAGAAUAAAAUCCUACGAGUCAAAUAUAUCUGAUUACAAUCACUACCCUCAUGGACUUAUACCUACGAGAGCAUAACAAGCAAUGAUCGGCCCAAAACAUCACAGGCUGAGUACCGUAGUGUCUGGUGGUACUGAGGGUCACUACUGUGUCUCACAACUCUUGUUUUUCUCUUCUGUAACCAUCGAUCACCAUCUCGGAGGCAAUGUUACGAGCACACACAACUUCUACCUCGAGCUGUCCUUUAGCCAUUAGGAGACCAAGCUUGAUUUCUCCGUAAUGGCCUGUUGUGAGGCGAUAGCCACGUGGGUGAAUCUGAC